AAUGAUUCUGCUAGUAGUGGCGAACGAACGUGGAUGAGGCUAAACCGUAUGCGUGUGAUACCUGGCAGGGGUUGCGUGUGUGGUGUUGUGGGGCGUUGUUGGAGGAGGCUGCCGGCUCCUCGCUUGUUAUAUGUGUGUGUUAGCGGAAGUGGUUUGGAAUGGCCUGCCGUAGUGGGUGAGAGUCCCGUACGUGAAAACAUGUGCAUGCGAGUGGAUGAUGUUCCCGAGUAGCAGCGGGCUCGUGGAAUCUGCUGUGA
rnacentral:rRNA from 1 species